rnacentral:rRNA from 1 species
UACGUAGGGGGCGAGCGUUGUCCGGAUUCAUUGGGCGUAAAGCGCGCGUAGGCGGCUCCGCAAGUCGGCCGUGAAAUCUCCGGGCUCAACUCGGAGGGGUCGGGCGAGACUGCGAGGCUCGAGGUGGGCAGAGGGCAGUGGAAUUCCGGGUGUAGUGGUGGAAUGCGUAGAGAUCCGGAGGAACACCAGUGGCGAAGGCGGCUGCCUGGGCCUGGCCUGACGCUGAGGCGGCGAAAGCGUGGGGAGCAAUCCGGG